rnacentral:rRNA from 1 species
CCUACGGGUGGCAGCAGUGAGGAAUAUUGGUCAAUGGACGAGAGUCUGAACCAGCCAAGUAGCGUGAAGGAUGACUGCCCUAUGGGUUGUAAACUUCUUUUAUAAAGGAAUAAAACGAGGCACGUGUGCCUUUUUGCAUGUACUUUAUGAAUAAGGAUCGGCUAACUCCGUGCCAGCAGCCGCGGUAAUACGGAGGAUCCGAGCGUUAUCCGGAUUUAUUGGGUUUAAAGGGAGCGUAGGUGGGUUGUUAAGUCAGUUGUGAAAGUUUGCGGCUCAACCGUAAAAUUGCAAUUGAUACUGGCAGUCGUGAGUACAGUUGAGGUAGGCGGAAUUCGUGGUGUAGCGGUGAAAUGCUUAGAUAUCACGAAGAACCCCGAUUGCGAAGGCAGCUUACUAAACUGUGACUGACAUUGAUGCUCGAAAGUGUGGGUAUCAAACAGGAUUAGAUACCCUUGUAGUC